CCUCUGUACGCCUCUAGGACUCU
rnacentral:piRNA from 1 species